ACACACUUAUCCACCCACGUCUAUCACCCACGUCUACCACCCACGUCUACCGCACACAACACAUCUCCUCAGACACAGAGGGGAGGUUCAGGUAGGCAUGAUGGAACAACACAUCUCAUAGACACAGAGGGGAGGUUCAGGUAGGCAUGAUGGAACAACAUCUCCUCAUAGACACAGAGGGGAGGUUCAGGUAGGCAUGAUGGAACAACACAUCUCAUAGACACAGAGGGGAGGUUCAGGUAGGCAUGAUGGAACAACACAUCUCAUAGACACAGAGGGGAGGUUCAGGUAGGCAUGAUGGAACAACACAUCUCAUAGACACAGAGGGGAGGUUCAGGUAGGCAUGAUGGAACAACACAUCUCAUAGACACAGAGGGGAGGUUCAGGUAGGCAUGAUGGAACAACACAUCUCAUAGACACAGAGGGGAGGUUCAGGUAGGCAUGAUGGAACAACACAUCUCAUAGACACAGAGGGGAGGUUCAGGUAGGCAUGAUGGAACAACACAUCUCAUAGACACAGAGGGGAGGUUCAGGUAGGCAUGAUGGAACAACACAUCUCAUAGACACAGAGGGGAGGUUCAGGUAGGCAUGAUGGAACAACACAUCUCAUAGACACAGAGGGGAGGUUCAGGUAGGCAUGAUGGAACAACAACCAGUUGG